rnacentral:rRNA from 1 species
UAAUACGGAGGGUGCAAGCGUUAUCCGGAAUCAUUGGGUUUAAAGGGUCCGUAGGCGGGCUAAUAAGUCAGGGGUGAAAUCCCACAGCUUAACUGUGGAACUGCCUUUGAUACUGUUAGUCUUGAGUUAUAUGGAAGUAGAUAGAAUGUGUAGUGUAGCGGUGAAAUGCUUAGAGAUUACACAGAAUACCGAUUGCGAAGGCAGUCUACUACAUAUAUACUGACGCUAAUGGACGAAAGCGUGGGGAGCGAACAGGAUUAGAUACCCUGGUAGUCCACGCCGUAAACGAUGGACACUAGUUGUUGGAUUAUUUCAGUGACUAAGCGAAAGUGAUAAGUGUCCCACCUGGGGAGUACGGUCGCAAGAUUGAAACUUA